UUCAAGAUUAACCACACCAGUAGACUACCACUAAAGUUUCAGAUUAAACUCUAGCAAUUCACUUGUCAAAGUUCUAUUAAGGCCAACAUUACAUCAAACUUCAUUAGUGACAAUAUGAUCCGCUAAACCCAAAUCCACUCAAAGCACCACCAAAAAGCCUAUCCAAAAUGCAAUGAAACACUCUCCUCCAAGACACGGUCGCCGAUCCACGCAUCCAAGGCAAGCCCUGGGAUUUGAAUACCAUUGACAAAUGUUGUAGUCCAUACUGCUUGUCUUAAAUCGCAACCAAUUCCAAGACAUUCUUUUCGCUGCUUCGACUACCUAAUCUAUGAUGACUUCCUUGUUGUUGAACAACUUAUUGUUCCACGCCUUCCAAAUACUCCAAAUUCUCGUAGCCCAAAUCACUUUAAGUCUACCGGAUAAAACUCUCCCACUACCGAUCAGACCUUCAAACUAUUCUAAAUGAGCCUAACCUGCAUUUUGAAAACCGAAGCGAUUCCAAACCAUUUAUUGAUCAUGGACCAAGUACAUGCAAAAACGAGACACUAAAAAAAAAUGUGUAACUAUUUCUUCCGCCCCGCGCUCCCCUACACAUUGAAUGGACCCUUUUAUCUAUUGCCCUUCUCCUAUAUUGGUUUUCUUUUGUAGCUACUCUAUUCUGCAGAAUUUGCCAAACAAAACAUGACACUUUUGUCGGAAUUGAUUUUUGCCAUGCCUUCGACAAAAACGUAUCAGCCGAAUCAACCCACUCCGACAUGAUCUUCUUAUAUGCUUCCUUAACCGAGAAUGUGUUUAUCGAAUCGCUUAUUCCUGAAUCUAACAGACUUAUAUCUUUCCACCAUAACAAACUGCUAUUAGCCCAACGUCUAAUACCACCCUCACUAACCCCGUAUCGAUUAGCCAAAGCUCUACACUAUAAACUCACAGUAGGGAAAUAUUAAAUGCCUUCAAAAAAUUUAUACCUAAUAUCCCUCCCUCUAUAGGUGUACAUAUCUUUUCCCAUUAACCCAACUUAUUUUCCUCUCAUCCUCACUCCCUCCCCAUAAAAAUUGUUUAAAAUGAGAUUUGAGUUUAUUACCGUUGGGAAAAACCGGUAUAGAGAAAAUAAAAGAAUGCAAUAAACAAUACAAGAAUAUAACGUGAAAACUCCAAAACCGGAGAAAAAACUACGGUCAUUGUCAAAACCGACAACCAGAGAAUAUCUAACUACAUCUCACAACACUCUAAUAAAAGUAAUAAAAGAGUACAAGAGAAAAACAGAAAAAAUCAGAUAUAAGCUUAUAGUGUUACUGACUAGUGCAUUGAAACAAGGAACUUGAGGUUUCUAUAUAUAGCCUUGAGCUCCCCCUUACUUCACUUCUCUAAGCGAUGUGAGACUUCUCCACUAUAAUUUUCUUUACCUUUUUUUCCUUCAUUAGCAAAGUGAGACUUACAUUGCAAUCAACCACAACAAUUACAACCACCCGACCUCCAAUAGACAACUUCUUAUGCUUCCAGCUUGACAAUCAUGCCCACGGCACUAAGACUAACAUGUUGACACCGACAAUAAUUNNNN
rnacentral:lncRNA from 1 species